rnacentral:rRNA from 1 species
UACGGGAGGCAGCAGUGGGGAAUAUUGCACAAUGGGCGAAAGCCUGAUGCAGCUAUGCCGCGUGUAUGAAGAAGGCCUUAGGGUUCUAAAGUACUUUCAUCGGGGAGGAAAAACAAAACUAAUAAUUUUAUUUCUUGACGUUACCCGAAAAAGAAGCACCGGCUAACUCCGUGCCAGCAGCCGCGGUAAUACGGAGGGUGCUAGCGUUAAUCAGAAUUACUGGGCGUAAAGAGCACGUAGGUGGUUUUUUUAAGUCAGAUGUGAAAUCCCUGGGCUUAACCUAGGAACUGCAUUUUGAAACUGAAAUACUAGAGUAUCGUAGAGGGAGGUAGAAUUCUAGGUGUAGCGGUGAAAUGCGUAGAUAUCUGGAGGAAUACCUGUGGCGAAAGCGGCCUCCUAAACGAAUACUGACACUGAGGUGCGAAAGCGUGGGGAGCAAACAGGGAUUAGAUACC